rnacentral:rRNA from 1 species
AUGAGAGUUUGAUCCUGGCUCAGGACGAACGCUGGCGGCGUGCCUAAUACAUGCAAGUUGAGCGGAGAUAUGGAGAGCUUGCUCUUUAUAUUUUAGCAGCGAACGGGUGAGUAACACGUAGAUAAUUUGUCCUAUAUUGGGGGAUAGGCCGAUGAAAAUUGGAUUAAUACCGCAUACAGCUAUUUAACCGCAUGGGGAGAUAGUGAAAGGGGAGACUUGAUAUAGGAGGAGUCUGCGGCACAUUAGCUAGUAGGUGAGGUAAGAGCUCACCUAGGCGACGAUGUGUAGCCGGUCUGAGAGGAUGAUCGGCCACAAUGGGACUGAGACACGGCCCAUACUCCUACGGGAGGCAGCAGUAGGGAAUCUUCCACAAUGGGCGAAAGCCUGAUGGAGCAACGCCGCGUGAGUGAAGAAGGUUUUCGGAUCGUAAAGCUCUGUUAGCAGGGAAGAGGAAGGACGGUACCUGCAGAGGAAGUCACGGCUAACUACGUGCCAGCAGCCGCGGUAAUACGUAGGUGGCAAGCGUUGUCCGGAUUUAUUGGGCGUAAAGGAUGCGUAGGCGGUUGAGUAAGUUAUGUGUUAAAUAUAUAGGCUUAACCUGUAGAAAGCACAUAAAACUGUUUAACUAGAGUGCAGGAGAGGUAAGUGGAAUUCCUAGUGUAGCGGUGAAAUGCGUAGAUAUAUGGAAGAACACCAGUGGCGAAGGCGGCUCUCUGGUCUGUAACUGACGCUGAGGCUCGAAAGCAUGGGUAGCAAACAGGAUUAGAUACCCUGGUAGUCCAUGCCGUAAACGAUGGGUACUAGGUGUGGGUUGUGAAUAACAAUCCGUGCCGUCGCAAACGCAAUAAGUACCCCGCCUGGGGAGUACGACCGCAAGGUUGAAACUCAAAGGAAUUGACGGGGGCCCGCACAAGCGGUGGAGCAUGUGGUUUAAUUCGAAGCAACGCGAAGAACCUUACCUAAACUUGACAUACCUUGAAUUACCUUGUAAUGAGGGAAGCCCGCAAGGGCAAGGAUACAGGUGGUGCAUGGUUGUCGUCAGCUCGUGUCGUGAGAUGUUGGGUUAAGUCCCGCAACGAGCGCAACCCUUGUUGUUAAUUGCUAACAGGUAGAGCUGAGCACUUUAGCGAGACAGCCUAGGUUAACUAGGAGGAAGGUGGGGAUGACGUCAAAUCAUCAUGCCCCUUACGUUUAGGGCUACACACGUGCUACAAUGGUGAGAACAAAGAGAAGCAAACUAGCGAUAGUGAGCAAAACUUAUAAAACUCAUCUCAGUUCGGAUUGCAGGCUGAAACUCGCCUGUAUGAAGAUGGAAUCGCUAGUAAUCGCGAAUCAGCAUGUCGCGGUGAAUACGUUCCCGGGCCUUGUACACACCGCCCGUCACACCAUGAGAGUUUGUAACACCCAAAGCCGGUGGGCUAACCGAAAGGAGGCAGCCGUCUAAGGUGGGGACAGAUGAUUGGGGUGAAGUCGUAACAAGGUAGCCGUAGGAGAACCUGCGGCUGGAUCACCU